rnacentral:misc_RNA from 1 species
AAAGUCGUAACAAGGUUUCCGUAGGUGAACCUGCGGAAGGAUCAUUAACACGUAUCCACGUAUCAAAACCCCUCUGUGCAAACCCUCUUUGUGAAGGCUCGGUUGGAGUUGUGCCUGCUCGAUCUUAAUGAUGGGAGUCUCCUUUUGGGGUGACUCGGGAUCUAUGAGCAGGUGCAGCGUUUGACAAUCAGCCGCUAUUUUCCCAUCGUUAGGCCCAUUUUAUUAACCCCUUUGUACUCUUUUGUACUGAACCAAUUCUUCGAGUUUCGGCCUUUAAAAAAGCUGAGAUACGAAAGAUAUUACGAAACUAAAGAACAACUCUUAGCAACGGAUAUCUUGGUUCCC